rnacentral:rRNA from 1 species
UGGAACUUUUUCCCACGGAUAAUUACUAUGCAAGUCGUAACGAUGGAACCCCGCAUUGCGGGGGGAUUAGUGGCGAACGGGUGAGUAAACGUGAGUAACCUGCCCUUAACUCUGGGAUAAGCCUUGGAAACGGGGUCUAAUACUGGAUAUUGACUUUUCCUCGCAUGGGGAUUGGUUGAAAGAUUUAUUGGUUUUGGAUGGACUCGCGGCCUAUCAGCUUGUUGGUGAGGUAAUGGCUCACCAAGGCGACGACGGGUAGCCGGCCUGAGAGGGUGACCGGCCACACUGGGACUGAGACACGGCCCAGACUCCUACGGGAGGCAGCAGUGGGGAAUAUUGCACAAUGGGCGAAAGCCUGAUGCAGCGACGCCGCGUGAGGGAUGACGGCCUUCGGGUUGUAAACCUCUUUCAGUAGGGAACAAGGCCAGUGUUUAGCUGGUUGAGGGUACUUGUUUAAUAAACGCCGGCUAACUACGUGCCAGCAGCCGCGGUAAUACCUAGGGCGCAAGCGUUAUCCGGAAUUAUUGCGCGUAAAAGACCUCGUAAGCCGUUUGUCCCGCCCGCCGU